UAGCUGCGAUAUGUAGCCCGAAUUGCAAACCUGUGGAGGGCUAAAAUUUCGAACGCAAAUGGCGCCGUCGGGUUACUCCCGUCGGCACGUCUGUCUGAGUGUUGGUCUAUCAAUACACACACUAUGUGCCGGUGUGUAGUCAUCAUGUGAGAGGCAUACCCGUGCCUUUCAUUGUCGAACUGUGUGAAUGUGGAGCGUUGGCCGUUGAAAGGCUCUGUUGGCUUAUUGGUUGACUUGGCUGUUUGAUGGUGUUGACGUGAAGCUCAUCUGCUGACCUCAGAUCAGGCGUGACUCCCCGCUGAACUUAA
rnacentral:misc_RNA from 1 species